GGCAUCUAAGCCAAACCCCUGGAAGUGAAAUGGACAUUAAUGACUUAUUUCAGGGUUUUAGGACUCAUUCCUGCAGCACUCUGUAUGUCAGUGUUUAACAAAGCAUGGUUGGAUUCCUUUUCUUGCUUCCGUCUGCAGUGGGCUGAGGGACCACUGAAUGACUUGUAUUCUAUUGUUAGUUUCACAUAAGAAUGCUUUCUGGCAACUAACCAUGAGUGUGCACUGUCCCAGGACCAGGAAAUAUGUAAAAAUAGUCCUUCCUUGGAGCUUAAUGUGGUUGAAAGAGUUUGAGCAUGGGACAAGAGUCUAAGUUAGGAUCUUUUCAUAAGUGGAGAACAAAAACAAACUAUGAAGGACACAAAUAUCAUAUGUGAAUGCACAUAAGCAUUUAUGGUGUUGUGCAAUAACUUUUGUAUACUUGUGUAAUCCUUGUUAAAUGUUAAAGCUCCUGCUCUUUGUGGCAUUAUUUAAGGGGGAAUGUAUCCACAGAGUGACACAUUUCACUUUGACUCACACAUUUCUUGUGUUCUCUCUCUUUUUUAAAUUUGAGCCAAUCACACAUCUGCUUUCCUAACUGCUUAUUCACAGUGAGCUGGGGCCUAUCCCAGCUGACACAGGGUGACAGGUGGGGUACACACUGGUCAGGUCACCACGCGCACAUUUAGUUUACUUAUGUAUUCAUACUACUUAAUUUCUUUGCUUUCUGACUAACUUUUGUCUUUUUAUUUCUUACCUGCCAUCAUCCCUGGGAGUUGCUGGACAAAAGAUGGUAGCCAGGGUUUGAAACCAUUAAAUACAAAGGAAGAUAAUUGGACCACACCACCACUUCCUGCUGAAGGGGGGAAUGUGUGUUUUCUUUACUUUAAAAACAAAGUAUUUGUAUUUAAUUAAAUAUUUGAGUUUAGGGUUUAAUGGGGUUUUUGAUUUUCUUCUUUAGUGUUUAGUUUAUUAACAAACCAGAUUGUACUGCAUCGUUUGUGAUUUAUGAUUGUGUUUUGUUUGUUACCCCUCAUGUGUCACAAUGGUCUGAUCAGCCAUUAUAUAUAC
ensembl:lncRNA